rnacentral:rRNA from 1 species
UACGUAGGGGGCUAGCGUUGUCCGGAAUCAUUGGGCGUAAAGAGCGUGUAGGCGGCCCGGUAAGUCCGCUGUAAAAGUCAAAGGCUCAACCUUUGAAUGUCAGUGGAUACUGCCGGGCUAGAGUCCGGAAGAGGCGAGUGGAACUCCUGGUGUAGCGGUGAAAUGCGUAGAUAUCGUAAGGAAGACCAGUGGCGAAGGCGGGUCUCUGGACAGUUCCUGACGCUGAGGCACGAAGGUCAGGGGAGCAAACGGG